AUUGAACGCUGGCGGCAGGCUUAACACAUGCAAUUCGAGCGGAGAGAGGUAGCUUGCUACUGAUCUUAGCGGCGGACGGGUGUGUAAUGCUUAGGAAUCUGCCUAUUAGUGGGGGACAACAUUUCGAAAGGAAUGCUAAUACCGCAUACGUCCUACGGGAGAAAGCAGGGGAUCUUCGGACCUUUCGCUAAUAGAUGAGCCUAGGUCGGAUUAGCUAGUUGUUGGGGUAAAGGCCUACCAAGGCGACGAUCUGUAUCGGGUCUGAGAGGAUGAUCCGCCACACUGGGACUGAGACACGGCCCAGACUCCUACGGGGGGCAGCAGUGGGGGAUAUUGGACAAUGGGCGGAAGCCUGAUCCAGCCAUGCCGCGUGUGGGAAGAAGGCCUUAUGGUUGUAAAGCACUUUAAGCGAGGAGGAGGCUACUUUAGUUAAUACCUAGAGAUAGUGGACGUUACUCGCAGAAUAAGCACCGGCUAACUCUGUGCCAGCCGCCGCCGUAAAAC
rnacentral:rRNA from 1 species